rnacentral:rRNA from 1 species
GAUGAACGCUGGCGGUAUGCCUUACACAUGCAAGUCGAACGGGAAUUAGCUUCGGUUAAUUCUAGUGGCGGACGGGUGAGUAACACGUGAGAAUUCGCCUUUAGGAGGGGGAUAACGAGUGGAAACAUUCGCUAAAACCCCAUAUGCCCCAGGGUGAAAAAGAGGUUAAUAGUAAAACUGAAUAACCUCUGCCUGAAGAGAAGCUUGCGGCUGAUUAGCUAGUUGGUAGGGUAAUGGCCUACCAAGGCGACGAUCAGUAGCUGGUCUGAGAGGACGAUCAGCCACACUGGAACUGAGACACGGUCCAGACUCCUACGGGAGGCAGCAGUGAGGAAUUUUCUGCAAUGGGCGAAAGCCUGACAGAGCAAUACCGCGUGAGGGAUGAAGACUUACUGAGUUGUAAACCUCGGUGCCUUAAGGAAGAAGAUCUGACGGUACUUAAGGUGGAAAGCAUCGGCUAACUCCGUGCCAGCCGCCGCCGUAAAAC